AGCUUUAUUGGUGCAAAAAACAACAUUUCAACCCUACAGGGUCAAAAUGUUGCUGUUUUUUGCACCAAUAAAGCU